AUAUUGUUAAAAUGGCCACAGUGCUCAAAGUAAUUUAUAGAUUCAAUGCAAUCCCUAUUAAAAUUCAAAUUACAUUCUUUAUAGAAAUAGAAAAGACAAUCCUAAAAUUCACAUGGACUCACAAAAGGCCCGAAGUAGCCAAAGCAAUCUUGAACAAGAAGACAAAAGCUGGAGGCAUCACACUUCCUAAUUUUAAAAAUAUAUUACAAAGCUACAGUAAUCAAAACAGUAUGCUACUAGCAUAAAAACAGAUAUAUAGACCAAUGGGAUGGAUUAGAGAGCUCAGAAGUAAACCCAUGUAUAUAUGGUCAACCAACUGGGAAGGUGCCAAAAGCACAUAAUAGGAAAAAGAUAGUUUCUUCAAUAAAUGGUGUUGGGAAAAACUGAAUAUGCAAAUGCAGAAAAAUGAAAAAAUAAAAUUACACCUUCAUCUCACACUAUAUGCAAAAAUCAACUCAAAAUGGAACACAGACUUGUAUUUAAAACCUGCAAAUAUAAAGCUACUAAAAGAAAACAUGCAUAUGAGCUUCUUGACAUUGGUCUGGGCAAUAAUUUUUUGAAUAUGACAUCAAAAGCACAAGUAAAAAAAAGCAAAAAUAAAGUGGAAUUAUAUCAAACUAAAAAGCUUCUGCACUAGCAAAAGAAACAAUCAUCAGAGUGAAACGCAACCUAUGAAUUGAGAUAAAGUAUCUACAAAUCAUAUAUCUGAUAAGAAUUAAUAUCCAAAAUGCAUAAGGAUGUCAUACAACUCAAUACGAAAAUGACAAAUAAUCUGAUUUUUUAAUGGUCAAAGGAUCUGAAUAGACAUAUUUCCAAAAAGACAUACAAAUGCAAAAAAAACCAGGUUUAUGCAAAGUGCCUAAUAUCACUAAUCAUCAGGGAAAUGCAAAUCAAAAUCACAGUGAAAUAUUACCUCGCACCUGUCGAGAUGGCUGUUAUCAAAAAGACAAAAGAUAACAAAUGUUGGCAAGAAUGUGGAGAAAAGGGAACCCCUGUAAACUGUUUGUGGGAAUGAUAGUUGGUACAGUGACUGUGGAAAACAGUGUGGAAGUUCUUCAAAAAAUUGAAGAUGGAACUACCUUAUGAUUCAGUAAUCCCAACUCUGAGAAUACAUUUAUCUCUCCAAAGGAAAUGAAAUCAGAUUGUCAAAGAGAUACCUAUAUUUCUAUGUUCAUUGCAGCGUUAUACACAAUAGCCAAUAUAUGGACAAAAUGUAAAUGUUGACAAAUGAAUGGACAAAGAAAACAUGAUGUGUGUGUGUAUGUGUGUGUGUUGUAUGUGUGUGGGUGCAUGUGUAUACAGGCAGAGAUAGGAUAUUUUUUAACCUUAAAAAAAAUCCUGUCAUUUGUACGAAAAUGGAUGAACCUAGAGCAGAUUAUGCUCAGUGAAAUAAGCCAGAUAUAGAAAGGCAAAUACUGCAUUGUUACAUUUAUACAUUAAACCUAAAAUGGUCGCUGUCAUAGAAGUAGGGAGUAGAAUGGUGGUUGCCAGAGGCUGGCAAAAGGGGAAAAUUGGUAGAUGUUGGUUAAAGGGUACAAAGUUUCAGAAUUGCAGACAAAUAAGUUCUGUAGAGCUAAUGUAUAGCAUGCUGACAACAGAUAACAAUUCUGUAUUGCAUGCUUGAAAUCUGCCAAGUGGGUAGAUCUGGUGUUCUCAUUACACAUGAAAUAAAUAGUAAAAGAAGAGGAAGAGGAAGAAGAGGAAGAAGAGGAAGAGGAAGAAGAAGAAGAAGAGGAAGAAGAAGGAAGAGGAGAGGAGGAGGAAGGGGGGAGGAGGGAGGAGGAGGAGAAGGAAGGAGAAGGAAACAGAAAGGAGGAAAUGACUUGGGGCAGGUGAUGGAUGUGUUAAUUAGCAUGAUUGUGGUGAUUAGCUCACAAUGUGUAUGUAUAUUAAAACAUCAAGUUGAAUACCUUAAAUAUAUACAACAUUUAUUUGUCAGUUAUACCUCAGUAAAGUCAAAAAGUCAAUAGGCUACAAAAAUUCCAGAGUCAUUAUUUUUAAAAUUAAAUUUACAAUGUUUUAUCAAUCAAUACAUGAAUACAUCUUAAUUUUAUGUCACUGUAACUAGUACUAUUCUAGGCAGUAAUAAAAAUAGUAUUCUAGUACUAUUCUAGGAGUAACAAAAAUAUAAUAGAAAACAAAGAAGAUGAAUGUAACACUUGGGAAAUGAGCAGACUU
ensembl:lncRNA novel transcript